rnacentral:rRNA from 1 species
CGGAUUAGCUAGUUGGUGAGGUAAUGGCUCAAACCGGCGACGAUCCGUAACUGGUCUGAGGAUGAGAUCAGUUSUACUGGAACUGAGACACGGUCCAGACUCCUACGGGAGGCAGCAGUGGGGAAUAUUGGACAAUGGGCGUUUGCCUGAUCCAGCCAUGCCGCGUGUGUGAAGAAGGUCUUCGGAUUGUAAAGCACUUUAAGUUGGGAGGAAGGGCAGUUACCUAAUACGUGAUUGUUUUGACGUUACCGACAGAAUAAGCAGGCCCUAACUCUGUGCCAGUACGCGCGGUAAUACAGAGGGUGCAAGCGUUAAUCGGAAUUACUGGGCGUAAAGCGCGCGUAGGUGGUUUGUUAAGUUGGCCGUGAAAUCCCCGGGCUCAACCUGGGAACUGCAUUCAAAACUGACUGGCUCAAGUAUGGUAGAGGGUGGUGGAAUUUCCUGUGUAGCGGUGAAAUGCGUAGAUAUAGGAAGGAACACCAGUGGCGAAGGCGACCACCUGGACUGAUACUGACACUGAGGUGCGAA